AAAAAUAAUAAUUAAAAAUUCAGACCGGUGGAUCAUUCCGCCGGACCAACGCCGGCUGGGUAGCCGACUAACUAGUGAAUACAGGAUUAUACUUUUAUUUUUGAAUGUGAAAACAUAUAAAUGAACAAGUGUUCAAGGAGACAAUGGACCUGAAAACAGUGAUACAACAGAAGUUGUGUCAUCACGAUUAAGCCUAAGGACAGGACUUCCACCAUUGAUGCUUCGGUUUGUUAUUCGCCGAUUGCUGGUAGCUGGCCUUGACAUGUAAAAACUAUCUGGCUCAGCCACAGCUUAUUGUAUUCUUGCAACAUUGCAACAAGAGGUACCUGGAGAGGUAACAGGUUUCGAUGAGCAUUGCUACUUACUGAGUACCGAUUCUCAUCCUGUGACAACGUUAGUGUUUCUUGAAUGAGUUAGAGUACAGAGGAAAAAUGU